rnacentral:rRNA from 1 species
CUAACUCCGUGCCAGCAGCCGCGGUAAUACGGAGGAUGCGAGCGUUAUCCGGAUUCAUUGGGUUUAAAGGGUGCGUAGGCGGAAUAGCAAGUCAGCGGUGAAAGCCUGUGGCUUAACCAUAGAAUUGCCGUUGAUACUGUUGUUCUUGAGUGUAGUUGAAGUGGGCGGAAUGUGUAAUGUAGCGGUGAAAUGCUUAGAUAUUACACAGAACACCAAUUGCGAAGGCAGCUCACUAAGCUAAUACUGACGCUGAGGCACGAAAGCGUGGGGAGCAAACAGGAUUAGAUACCCUGGUAGUCCACGCUGUAAACGAUGAUCACUCGUUGUUGGCGAUACACCGUCAGCGACUGAGCGAAAGCAAUAAGUGAUCCACCUGGGGAGUACGGCGGCAACGCUGAAACUCAAAGGAAUUGACGGGGGCCCGCACAAGCGGAGGAACAUGUGGUUUAAUUCGAUGAUACGCGAGGAACCUUACCUGGGCUUGAAAGGGGAUCGACCUCCCGGGAACCGGGAUUCUCUUCGGAGCGGUCUCCUAGUGCUGCAUGGUUGUCGUCAGCUCGUGCCGUGAGUGUCGGGUUAAGUCCCAUACGAGCGCACUCCUAUGUAGUGCCAGCGGUAAUGCGGGACUCUACGAAACUGGCGGUGUAACCGAGAGAGUGGGGAUGACGUCAAUCAGCACGGUCUUAUGUUCG